AGUCGAACGAAAUCUUCGGAUUUAGUGGCGGACGGGUGAGUAACGCGUGAGAAUCUGGCUUCAGGUCUGGGACAACCACUGGAAACGGUGGCUAAUACCGGAUGUGCCGAGAGGUGAAAGGUUAACUGCCUGAAGAUGAGCUCGCGUCUGAUUAGCUAGUUGGUAGAGUAAGAGCCUACCAAGGCGACGAUCAGUAGCUGGUCUGAGAGGACGAUCAGCCACACUGGGACUGAGACACGGCCCAGACUCCUACGGGAGGCAGCAGUGGGGAAUUUUCCGCAAUGGGCGAAAGCCUGACGGAGCAAUACCGCGUGAGGGAGGAAGGCUCUUGGGUCGUAAACCUCUUUUCUCAGGGAAGAACACAAUGACGGUACCUGAGGAAUAAGCAUCGGCUAACUCCGUGCCAGCAGCCGCGGUAAUACGGAGGAUGCAAGCGUUAUCCGGAAUGAUUGGGCGUAAAGCGUCCGCAGGUGGCAAUGUAAGUCUGCUGUUAAAGAGUCUAGCUCAACUAGAUNAGAGCAGUGGAAACUACAUAGCUCGAGUACGUUCGGGGCAGAGGGAAUUCCUGGUGUAGCGGUGAAAUGCGUAGAGAUCAGGAAGAACACCAGUGGCGAAGGCGCUCUGCUAGGCCGUAACUGACACUGAGGGACGAAAGCUAGGGGAGCGAAUGGGAUUAGAUACCCCAGUAGUCCUAGCCGUAAACGAUGGAUACUAGGCGUGGCUUGUAUCGACCCGAGCCGUGCCGUAGCUAACGCGUUAAGUAUCCCGCCUGGGGAGUACGCCGGCAACGGUGAAACUCAMAGGAAUUGACGGGGGCCCGCACAAGCGGUGGAGUAUGUGGUUUAAUUCGAUGCAACGCGAAGAACCUUACCAAGGCUUGACAUGUCGCGAAUCCUGGUGAAAGCUGGGAGUGCCUUCGGGAGCGCGAACACAGGUGGUGCAUGGCUGUCGUCAGCUCC
rnacentral:rRNA from 1 species